AACCCUCGCUGUGUGUUAUAUGUGUCACACAGGACUGCUGGGUAUUUAAAGCCGGAGGAAGUGGGGACGACGUCAAGUCAGCAUGACCUUUAUAUCCAGGGGCUACACACACGCUACAAUGGUCAGUACAAUGGGUUGCCAAGCCGCGAGGCGGAGCCAAUCCUAAAAAGCUGGCCUCAGUUCAGAUUGCAGUCUGAAACUCGACUGCAUGAAGUCGGAGUUGCUAGUAAACGCAGGUCAGCUAUACUGCGUUGAAUACGUUCCCGGGGCUU
rnacentral:rRNA from 1 species